AACGGCUCGAGACAUUAUCGAGUUUUGAAGGAGUUGUAGCUGGCCUCUCGGGGCAUGUGCACGCUCCGCUCAUUUCCAACUCUAACACCUGUGAACUAGCUGUAGGUCGGUUAGGAGUGGGCCUUUGCGGGUCCCUUCGCGCCUUCCUAUGUCUUUAACAAACUCUUGUCGUAUCAGAAUGUAUUCGCGCUUUAUAAACGCAUCAAUAUAACUUUCAGCAACGGAUCUCUUGGCUCUCGCAUCGAUGAAGAACGCAGCGAAAUGCGAUAAGUAAUGUGAAUUGCAGAAUUCAGUGAAUCAUCGAAUCUUUGAACGCAUCUUGCGCCCUUUGGUAUUCCGAAGGGCAUGCCCGUUUGAGUGUCAUUGUAUUCUCAAAUCUCUUCGCUUUUGUGAGAACGAGAUGUAUAUGUAGAGGCUGUGCGUGAGACUGUGCGUGCGCGCUCCUCGAGAGUGUUAUAUGUGGACUCUUGUGAUACACCACUCUCGGUGAGAUAAAUAUGUGCCGCGUGUGUGAAGCGAGACUGUGGAGAAGAUGCGCUUCCUCGCGUCCUCAGACAUACUCAGAUCUGAGAUCUCAUCUCGGAUAAGACUACGCUGAGAUCUUACGUAUC
rnacentral:rRNA from 1 species